rnacentral:rRNA from 1 species
CAUAGCUGAGAAGAAACCAACAGGGAUUGCCUCAGUAACGGCGAGUGAAGCGGCAAAAGCUCAAAUUUGAAAUCUAGCACCUCCGGUGUUCGAGUUGUAAUUUGAAGAUGGUAACUAUGGGUUUGGCUCUUGUCUAUGUUUCUUGGAACAGGACGUCAUAGAGGGUGAGAAUCCCGUCUGAUGAGAUGCCCAUUCCUAUGUAAGGUGCUAUCGAAGAGUCGAGUUGUUUGGGAAUGCAGCUCUAAGUGGGUGGUAAAUUCCAUCUAAAGCUAAAUAUUGGCGAGAGACCGAUAGCGAACAAGUACAGUGAUGGAAAGAUGAAAAGAACUUUGAAAAGAGAGUGAAAAAGUACGUGAAAUUGUUGAAAGGGAAGGGCAUUAGAUCAGACUUGGUGUUUUACGAUUAUCUUCUCUUCUUGAGUUGUGCACUCGUAUUUCACUGGGCCAGCAUCGAUUCGGAUGGCAAGAUAAUGGCAGUUGAAUGUGGCUUCACUUCGGUGGAGUGUUAUAGCUUCUGCUGAUAUUGCCUGUCUGGAUCGAGGGCUGCGUCUUUUGACUAGGAUGCUGCCGUAAUGAUCUAUUGCGCCGUCUGACAAACAA